AUUGAACGCUGGCGGCAGGCCUAACACAUGCAAGUCGAAGGGAGUGGCGAACGGGUGAGUAACACGUGAGUAACCUGCCCGUUUCUUUGGGAUAAGCCUGGGAAACUGGGUCUAAUACUGGAUGGAUUGGGAUGGGCUCGCGGCUUAUCAGCUUGUUGGUGGGGUGAUGGCUUACCAAGGCUUUGACGGGUAGCCAGCCGGAGAGGGUGGACGGUCACACUGAGACUGAGAAGCGGCCCAGGCUCCUACGCGAGGGAGCAGUGGGGGAUAUUGCACAAUGGACGAAAGUCUGAUGCAGCGUGGUCGUGUGAGGGAUGAGGGCCUUCGGGUUGUAUACUCCUUUCGCCCGCGGAAUGGUAGUUGGUAAAGAAGCGCCGGCUAACUACGUGCCAGCAGCCGCGGUAAUUC
rnacentral:rRNA from 1 species